UACAGAGGGGGCAAGCGUUGUUCGGAAUUACUGGGCGUAAAGCGUGCGCAGGCGGUGAUGUAAGACAGUUGUGAAAUCCCCGGGCUCAACCUGGGAACUGCAUCUGUGACUGCAUCGCUGGAGUGCGGCAGAGGGGGAUGGAAUUCCGCGUGUAGCAGUGAAAUGCGUAGAUAUGCGGAGGAACACCGAUGGCGAAGGCAAUCCCCUGGGCCUGCACUGACGCUCAUGCACGAAAGCGUGGGGAGCAAACAGG
rnacentral:rRNA from 1 species